rnacentral:rRNA from 1 species
AUUGAACGCUGGCGGCAGGCCUAACACAUGCAAGUCGAGCGGAUGAAGGGAGCUUGCUCCUGGAUUCAGCGGCGGACGGGUGAGUAAUGCCUAGGAAUCUGCCUGGUAGUGGGGGAUAACGUCCGGAAACGGGCGCUAAUACCGCAUACGUCCUGAGGGAGAAAGUGGGGGAUCUUCGGACCUCACGCUAUCAGAUGAGCCUAGGUCGGAUUAGCUAGUUGGUGGGGUAAAGGCCUACCAAGGCGACGAUCCGUAACUGGUCUGAGAGGAUGAUCAGUCACACUGGAACUGGGACACGGUCCAUACGCCUACGGGAGGCAGCAGUGGGGAAUAUUGGACAAUGGGCGAAAGCCUGAUCCAGCCAUGCCGCGUGUGUGAAGAAGGUCUUCGGAUUGUAAAGCACUUUAAGUUGGGAGGAAGGGCAGUAAGUUAAUACCUUGCUGUUUUGACGUUACCAACAGAAUAAGCACCGGCUAACUUCGUG